ACAAGGUUUCCGUAGGUGAACCUGCGGAA
rnacentral:ncRNA from 2 species